rnacentral:sRNA from 1 species
GGAUGUGAGGGCCAUCGGGCUGUGUCACUGGUGGCCCCAGUGAUCGCCAGUGUCGCUGUGGCUGAUCUGGCUGGCCAAGGGGCGCCCCCUCCUUCCCACAGCGCUCCACAUGCAUCCUUGCCAAGGUUGUGCUCCUGGAUGGAGCGCAUGAGCACCCCAAUAGAGGAGUACCAUGAUGGCAUCAGAACGCAGGUCUGCACAGAGGAGCCAGAGCUGGAGGUGUUCUAGCUGAAGGC